ACCCCAUAAAUAAAGUCUUAGACUUUUUUUAGAAA
rnacentral:tRNA from 1 species